rnacentral:rRNA from 1 species
UACGUAGGGGGCUAGCGUUGUCCGGAUUUAUUGGGCGUAAAGAGCUCGUAGGUGGUUCGGUAAGUCGGAUGUGAAAUCUCCAGGCUCAACCUGGAGGGGUCAUUCGAUACUGCCGUGACUAGAGUUCGGUAGAGGAGUGUGGAAUUCCUGGUGGAGCGGUGAAAUGCGCAGAGAUCAGGAGGAACACCCGUAGCGAAGGCGGCGCUCUGGGCCGAUACUGACGCUGAGGAGCGAAAGCGUGGGGAGCGAACAGG